UUACAGGUAACAUGUAAAUGUGUUGUAGUGAAUAAUGUGGCCAGUAAAAUAUAAGGUAAAUGUGUUGGAGUGAAUAAUGUGGCCAGUGACCAGUAAAAUAUAAGGUAAAUGUGUUGGAGCGAAUAAUGUGGCCAGUAAAAUAUAAGGUCAGGAGCAUCUGAAAACUAUUCCAAAUAAAAGAAAGAAAAAUCACCCACGUAUACCUUUAUUGACCACAUACAUAUGCAUGAAUGUUCUAUUCCAUAUCACUGAACUAGUACAUUAUUAUAACUCCACCUGCAAUUCCUAAAUACUUAACAUAUCCGAAUCUCAACCCCUAUAUACUAAACUUUAUCCCAAUCUUAUUCCAACACUUAAAUACUAAAUCCUAAACUCCAAUCAGUAAACCCUAAACCUAAAUAUAAACCAUAAACUAAAAUAUAAACUCAAAACCAAGAUAGAAUGGAACAAAGCAAAUAAUGUAGUACAUAGUGGUGAAUUUAUGGAAUGUCUAUGAUUGCAUGGAAGAAGUUAAUGUUGACUGUAGCUAACCAUACCCCCCUCACCUUCUAAAUACUAAACCCAAAACUCUAAUCACUAAACCCUUGCCCAAAUAUAAACCCUAAACCAAAUAGAAUGGAAUAAAAUAAAUAACAUAGUACAUAUUGGUAAAACUAUAAAAUGUCUAUAUAUGAUCGCAAGGAAGAAGUUAAUGUUGACCCCAACCAUACCCUCUCACCUUCUAAAUACUAAAACCUAAACUUUAAAAACUAAAUCCUUAUCCAAAUAUAAGCUCUAAACCAAAAUAUAAACCCUAAACCCAAAUAUAAUGGAAUAAAAUAAAUAACAAGUACAUAUUGGUGAAAUUAUGAAAUGUAUAUGAUUGCAUGGAAGAAAUUAAUGUUGACCCCAACCACACCCCUUCACCAUCUAAAUACUAAGCCCUAAACUCAAAUCACUAAAUCCUAAUC
rnacentral:lncRNA from 1 species